rnacentral:rRNA from 1 species
CAAUAGCGUAUAUUAAAGUUGUUGCGGUUAAAAAGCUCGUAGUUGGAUUUCUGCCGAGGACGUCCGGUCCACCCUCUGGGUGUGUACAUGGCACGGCCUGGGCAUCUUCUUGGGGUACGUAUCUGCACUUGACUGUGUGGUGCGGAAUCCAGGACUUUUACUUUGAGGAAAUUAGAGUGUUUCAAGCAGGCACGCGCCUUGAAUACAUUAGCAUGGAAUAAUAAGAUAGGACCUCGGUUCUAUUUUGUUGGUUUCUAGAGCUGAGGUAAUGAUUAAUAGGGAUAGUUGGGGGCAUUCGUAUUUAACUGUCAGAGGUGAAAUUCUUGGAUUUGUUAAAGACGGGCUACUGCGAAAGCAUUUGCCAAGGAUGUUUUCAUUGA